rnacentral:piRNA from 1 species
UGAGGACAACCUACUGGACAAUGAUAAAC